rnacentral:rRNA from 1 species
CCUACGGGUGGCAGCAGUGAGGAAUAUUGGUCAAUGGCCGGAAGGCUGAACCAGCCAUGCCGCGUGAAGGUCAGUGCCCUAUGGGUUGUAAACUUCUUUUAUAAAGGAAUAAAGUGAGGCACGUGUGCCUUUUUGUAUGUACUUUAUGAAUAAGGAUCGGCUAACUCCGUGCCAGCCGCCGCGGUAAUACGGAGGAUCCGAGCGUUAUCCGGAUUUAUUGGGUUUAAAGGGAGCGUAGAUGGGUUGUUAAGUCAGUUGUGAAAGUUUGCGGCUCAACCGUAAAAUUGCAAUUGAUACUGGCAGCCUUGAGUACAGUUGAGGUAGGCGGAAUUCGUGGUGUAGCGGUGAAAUGCUUAGAUAUCACGAAGAACUCCGAUUGCGAAGGCAGCUUACUAAACUGCCACUGACAUUGAUGCUCGAAAGUGUGGGUAUCAAACAGGAUUAGAUACCCGGGUAGUC